rnacentral:rRNA from 1 species
CGCCGCGUGGAGGAUGACGGGCCUUCGGGUUGUAAACUUCUCUUCUGUGGGAAGAGUAGAAGACGGUACCACAGGAAUAAGCCUCGGCUAACUACGUGC